rnacentral:rRNA from 1 species
GGGGAAUAUUGCGCAAUGGGCGGAAGCCUGACGCAGCGACGCCGCGUGGGGGAUGACGGCCUUCGGGUUGUAAACCCCUUUCAGCACCGACGAAGCCUUCGGGUGACGGUAGGUGCAGAAGAAGCGCCGGCUAACUACGUGCCAGCAGCCGCGGUAAUACGUAGGGCGCAAGCGUUGUCCGGAAUUAUUGGGCGUAAAGAGCUCGUAGGCGGUUUGUCGCGUCUGUCGUGAAAGCCCACGGCUUAACCGUGGGUCUGCGGUGGAUACGGGCAGGCUAGAGGCAGGUAGGGGAGAAUGGAAUUCCCGGUGUAGCGGUGAAAUGCGCAGAUAUCGGGAGGAACACCGGUGGCGAAGGCGGUUCUCUGGGCCUGUACUGACGCUGAGGAGCGAAAGCGUGGGGAGCGAAC